rnacentral:rRNA from 1 species
CUACGGGACGCACCAGUGGGGAAUAUUGGACAAUGGACCAAAAGUCUGAUCCAGCAAUUCUGUGUGUUUGAUGAAGGCCUUCGGGUCGUAAAGAACUUUAAGUAGGGAAGAAGAAAGUGACGGUACCUACAGAAUAAGCGACGGCUAAAUACGUGCCAGCAGCCGCGGUAAUACGUAUGUCGCAAGCGUUAUCCGGAAUUAUUGGGCAUAAAGCGCGUCUAGGCGGUUUACUAAGUCUGAUGUGAAAAUGCGGGGCUCAACUCCGUAUUGCGUUGGAAACUGGUAGACUAGAGUAUUGGAGAGGUAGGCGGAACUACAAGUGUAGAGGUGAAAUUCGUAGAUAUUUGUAGGAAUGCCAAUGACGAAGGUAGCUUACUGGACAAAUACUGACGCUGAAGCGCGAAAGCUAGGGGAGCAAACAGGAUUAGAUACCCGCGUAGUC